GCUACUAGCUUGCAAGUGUUGCAUGUGAGGGCCAUGUUGCUCUCAGGUGAGAAAACAAACAUUGCACAUUUAUUGUAGGACAC